UUUUCAUAUUUCUAAAGUAGACAUAACUAAAAACAUGCCCGUGAAGGAUUUGAUCGAAAACAUGCUGUACGGUCCUGGCAAAGCUGAUUAAAUUGGUUCUGAAGCUGAGAUUUCUUGCCAGCCGUUUGACUCUGUCGCGCCGGCAGUGGUUUAUUCAACGACGCGCCAAUGGCAAAUGUUAUGAUAAAUUCAUGUGGUUUUUUAGUUUUUUUCAAGUUUAAGCAUUAAUUAAUAAAAUAAAAAAAAAUUUGUUCGGA